AGCGGCCGCAGUGGCCGCAGGGUGCCCGGUCGCCGCCCCCUCCGCCCGCAGUUCCCGGGGCCUGAGCCUCCGCGAGCCGGGAUAGGACCGAGUGGCGGGGCUCGGAGCCGCCUCGGCAGGCGCGGCCCUUCCCUCCCUGCAGGGAUUCCCGUCCUCUCGGGUCCCGCUGCCCCGCCCCGACUGCGGACGGAGUGGAUGGGGUGCACCGCCUCAGACCCGCUUCCUGGGGUCGCGAACUUCCCGGGCCCCAAGGUCCCUGCCACCUCUUCCAAAUGCUGGAGGACUACGCACUUCUACAACUGCAAGGGUAUGCAGAGUUACGUGGAGGUACUUCCAACAAUUUCCAACGAUGAAUGUUAAUCUUGUCAGGUUGUCUUCAAAAGAUAGUUGUAUGUUCAAGUCAUUUUGGAAAUAUACAAUAAUUCACAAAAAUCAGAAAAAGGGCUGAGAAUAACCUGAUUUGAGUGGCACUCAGCCUCACUCACUGUAUGCUUUGUCCAAAUUAAAUGGACAGCAGAGAAAGGAAAGUGAGAAAAAAAAAAAGUGCAAAUCUGUGGCUGAAAGGAUCAUAUCCCCUCGUCCAAACAUUUGCCAGCUUAAGAAAUUGAGGAUUACAGAAAUUAUAUACCAAUGUGGAAAUCAGAGAUUUGAGGGAGAAAGUAUGGUUCCAGUAUAUCCUUCCUUUAUAUAUUAUUGAGCACUGGAUGUUAUGUGCAUGAAGAUAAAGAUGGAUAGAUGGAUGACUAUAUGAUUUAAAAAUUUAUUGUUGUUUACUUGCUUUAGAAUGUUCAUCUAUAAUUGUUCAUCAGACCAGGCUAAAUAAGGAUAAUGGCACAAAAGAAAAAUAAGACCCAAAUGGAGACAUCAACCACAGACACCUGGCAAAAAAUCUUCUGCUAAAACCUGAUUUUGUGACAAAAUGCUGCCUUAUCUUGCUGAUGAUUUCAUGGACAAUAAAAGGAAAGAAGAUGAAGAAGAACAUUCUAAGGUCCCUAACCUUUGCACUUUGCUGCUCCGAUUGAAUGUCAAAGUCGACAAGUGUCAAUAAUGGAAUUUGAAUGCUUGUUGGUUUGUCUGUGCAACAGCAGUUCUAUCAAUGCUCAGAACGUCUUGGUCUUCCUUUAUUUUUUCUUUCAAUACAUGUUCAUCUAGAUUUGACCUUCCAAAUUGGACUUUUAAAAAAUCACUUAUUUGGCCAGGCGCAAUGGCUCACACCUGUAAUCCAAGCACUUUGGGAGGCCAGUUCGAGACCAGCCUGGACAACAUGGUGAAAACCUGUCUCUACUAAAAAUGCCAAAUUUCCCAGCACUUUGGGAGGCUGAGGUGGGUGGAUCACGAGGUCAGGAGAUCGAGACCAUCCUGGCUAACACGGUGAAACCCCGUCUCUACUAAAAAUACAAAAAAAUUAGCCGGGCGUGGUGGCAGGCGCCUGUAGUCCCAGCUACUCAGGAGGCUGAGGGAGGAGAAUGGCAUAAACCCAG
rnacentral:lncRNA from 1 species